UUUGUCAGUUCCAUAAUCACGAACUCUCCUCAGAUCUUUAACAAGGGGCAGCCUAAGCCUUGUCGGUUACAGACCAGUUGCUUUACUGUGACGCUCGGCGCGGCCUCUUCCUGCAGAGGCACCUCCCCUUCAGGGAGAGUCAAGGAGAAGACUGGCCAGGACGGGCUUCUGAGAGUCUUACAAUCGGGAAAGUGAGCUGGGUAAGACUUUCUAGAACUAAAGGAACUGCAUGAACUUAGAACUAUAAUUCCAUGACUUCUGCUUUCAAACAUUGCCUGUUCUUUCGUUUUUCCAGAUUUAAGGAAACCUUUGAAGGUAUCAACAAUUUAAGAUACACCCUUGUGAACGAAGAUGAAACCAUUUUUCUCUGCUAUCUCCAGAAUUUGCCAACUUAGUCUAAAUUCUCAUUUUAGUGGCAAUAUAUAUGCAUGAGUGCACUAAGAAUCUGUUCUUGCAACAGGACACGAUUGGGAAUGUUGAUUACGUUACCAGGCUUUGACCUAGACUGUGCUAUUUGAGAGCGUUGUAAAGACUCUGAGAUGAUCAGCUUUCAGGAACUAAGGCCGACCUUAUGGAGCCAAUAAAGACCCUGGGGGAACAACAGCCUGGCCCCUUGCUUACAGGGUUCCCGGCAGCCUGGCCUGGCAAAGUCUGACAGCAGGUCCUUGGUGUGGCUUCUUAGCCUGGAGAGGCUUUUGAGGUUCAUCCAAGACUCUAUGGAAAGUUCCAGCAAAGCAGACUUAAUAGAGCCUAUACGCCGUGUGAGCUAGAGCCGGACCCCCUGACAUACACUCUGGAGAAACCACCCCAGCUCCCGUGGGGGCCACUCAGAAAGCUUGCCAGCCAUCC